AUUGAACGCUGGCGGCAGGCCUAACACAUGCAAGUCGAACGAGCGGCGGACGGGUGAGUAAUGUCUGGGAAACUGCCCGCUGGAGGGGGAUAACUACUGGAAACGGUAGCUAAUACCGCAUACCAUCGGAUGUGCCCAGAUGGGAUUAGCUAGUAGGUGGGGUAACGGCUAACCUAGGCGACGAUCCAUAGCUGGUCUGAGAGGAUGACCAGCCACACUGAAACGGAGACACGGUCCAGACUCCUACGGGAGGCAGCAGUGGGGAAUAUUGAACAAUGGGCGAAAGCCUGAUGCAGCCAUGCCGCGUGUAUGAAGAAGGCGUUCGGGUUGUAAAGUACUUUCAGCGAGGAGGCGUUACUCGCAGAAGAAGCACCGGCUAACUCCGUGCCAGCGGCCGCGGUAAUUC
rnacentral:rRNA from 1 species